UGGUGGGUAGUUUGACUGGGGCGGUCUCCUCCUAAAGAGUAACGGAGGAGCACGAAGGUUGGCUAAUCCUGGUCGGACAUCAGGAGGUUAGUGCAAUGGCAUAAGCCAGCUUGACUGCGAGCGUGACGGCGCGAGCAGGUGCGAAAGCAGGUCAUAGUGAUCCGGUGGUUCUGAAUGGAAGGGCCAUCGCUCAACGGAUAAAAGGUACUCCGGGGAUAACAGGCUGAUACCGCCCAAGAGUUCAUAUCGACGGCGGUGUUUGGCACCUCGAUGUCGGCUCAUCACAUCCUGGGGCUGAAGUAGGUCCCAAGGGUAUGGCUGUUCGCCAUUUAAAGUGGUACGCGAGCUGGGUUUAGAACGUCGUGAGACAGUUCGGUCCCUAUCUGCCGUGGGCGCUGGAGAACUGAGGGGGGCUGCUCCUAGUACGAGAGGACCGGAGUGGACGCAUCACUGGUGUUCGGGUUGUCAUGCCAAUGGCACUGCCCGGUAGCUAAAUGCGGAAGAGAUAAGUGCUGAAAGCAUCUAAGCACGAAACUUGCCCCGAGAUGAGUUCUCCCUGACUCCUUGAGAGUCCUGAAGGAACGUUGAAGACGACGACGUUGAUAGGCCGGGUGU
rnacentral:rRNA from 1 species